rnacentral:snoRNA from 1 species
UACUGUUAGUGAUGACCAAUAACGUUAAACAGAUGGGAAUCUCUCUGAAUAAGACUGAAGAUUGAUUGUUCAGCUGAAACAGUA